AGGCUUUGAAGCGUGGACGCCAGUCUGCGUGGAGCCAACCUUGAAAUACCACCCUUUAAUGGCUGGUGUUCUAACGUAGACCCGUGAUCCGGGUUGCGGACAGUGUCUGGUGGGUAGUUUGACUGGGGCGGUCUCCUCCCAAAGAGUAACGGAGGAGCACGAAGGUUAGCUAAUCCUGGUCGGACAUCAGGAGGUUAGUGCAAUGGCAUAAGCUAGCUUGACUGCGAGAGUGACGGCUCGAGCAGGUGCGAAAGCAGGUCAUAGUGAUCCGGUGGUUCUGAAUGGAAGGGCCAUCGCUCAACGGAUAAAAGGUACUCCGGGGAUAACAGGCUGAUA
rnacentral:rRNA from 1 species